rnacentral:rRNA from 1 species
UCGCUACUACCGAUUGAAUGGCUUAGUGAGAUGCAGGGACUGAGAAGCCGUUGGUGCUUGCGCCGCGGUGUAUUGGAAACUGUAUCAAACUUGAUCAUUUAGAGGAAGUAA